rnacentral:lncRNA from 1 species
AUGUGUGUGUGUGUUAAUCUCAAAAUCCUAGACAUAAUACUUUAAUUUAUGUGUCCUUUCUAGGAUUAUCUGUUGAUUACAGAUAAAUGACUGUGGACGGUCUCAAAGUUUUCAGUGCUUGUCACUCUCGCUAAGUGUUUGUCCAGAUAAGGUCUAGAUCUACUUUGCUUGAAAAGUGGCUUUAGAUAACUUCUGCAUGACAAAAAUAAAUGUGAUUUAACUAGGCUGUUGUGAUUAAAGAAACCAUGCUUGGCAUUGCUCAGCAUUGGCCUGACCAGAAUUAAAGCGAAUUUGUAUUUUGUUAAUAAUUACUUUUGGGUAUGUGGGCAGGUUUCAGCCUUUCUGACUUCCUCAUUGUUUCAGCUGGGUUGUUCUCUGGAACUCCAUAUAUACCUCACCAUCCUGGAAGAAGGUGCCCAAAGGUCCAGACUGAUAUCUUAUGUAGUUCAAGUUUUGCGACACUGGAUUUUGACAACAAAUACUUUAUUUCAAGGUAAGAGGAGAGUUUCUGUUAUUAUCUAGUUGAUCAUUUGUGCCACUCAUGUGUUAAAUAGCUAUAAUUAUAAGUUUGAAUGUCAAUAGAGCCAUGUGACCAAUUCUUCCUGGUUGUUGUUUAUGCCCAAUAAAAUUAUAUUUGACAACAACAAUAACAACUAUACACACAAUUCAUGGUUACGAAGAGCUGAUCUAAAUCAAAAAGUGUUUCCAUGUAUUUUUGGUGAAGAGCAUUGUGUAAAUAUAAAAUGUCUCAUAACUAAACUCAUAAACACCUAUGAAGCUGUAACCACCUCAACUCAAUUGCUCGUUUAAGUAUUUCAAUUUUCAUACUAAGAAAGGAAUAAGAUAUAUAUGAAUUCCUCAGCUCCUGUUUAUUCACCUUGAGUCAGUCAUCCAUCCUUCAGUUUACUGAUGAUGCUGCACACUUAUUUUGUAGAUGCAAAUGUGGAUUUUGGUUUGCCUUUACUUCAUCUUAAGCGUGCACGGGUAUUAUAAGGCUCCUUUCCUGGAGUCAUGUGGAACAAUGUCACCUGUGCACCUGAACAGAUUAGCUCAUCCUAUUUCUGCUCAGACCUCUACUCCACCAUAUGAGCUCGACUACAUACCUGGCAAUAAGGGAGAGCCUAUCACAGGUAGACCGAUUGUGUGUCCCCUUUUCCUGGAUGCCACUAUAACCCUCUGCUGCAUUUCACAGUUUAUUUCCUUCCUUUGGCUGUUUCAUUUCCUGUUCUUCCACUUUCAUCUUGGUCAAUCCUCAAAACUUUCAGUUAUUCUUAGAAGCAAGACGCACGAUACUUUCAUGGGAUUUAUGUUGGAGGCUCGAGAGACAGGCAUGGUCAAUGAAGGGCCUCCUGUUGGACGAUUCAUCACACUUGACCCUUCUCAGACUGUACUCAUGGCAUGCAGUGGAUUACCAGACUCUGCUGUUGGUCAAACAAACAACCUACGAAAAUCUAUUGUGCAUGUUAACUGGACAUCGGAAGGACAAGAGCUACAAAUCACUUUUAGAGCCACAUUUGUUAAGUAUUAUGAGACAUUCUGGGAAGGAGUGGACAUAGAUGUCCUCUCACCUACUCAGCCAACUACUGCUGCAAGUACGGCGCCAACUACUACUGCAAGUACGGCGCCAAGUACUGCUGCAAGUACGGCGCCAACUACUGCUGCAAGUACGGAGCCAAGUGCUGCUGCAAGUACGGAGCCAACUACUG